UUUUUGCAUUCAGGCCUGUGUGCUGUGACUCCAGGCCCAUCCUUCAUCUGCCUUCGGUCCUCUGCUGAGCCCAACCUCUUGAACCGCUGGUAGCCCAGACCUUUGAAACCUGUUCCAUCCUCCCCAAGGACCAGCCUCACAUAGGUAUGCACACCUCCAGAGCUCCAAACAGGGCUGAUGCUGUCUCAUACAUUCAUGAUCCAAAUAAUCACUUAUUUGAGAUCUCCUAAUCCACUUAAUCCUCAACAAAUAGAUGAAUAUUAAGUAAAUGUGUUCAAAUUUCACUGUAAUUAAAACACUAAAACUCCAAAUCUCAAAAACAAAACAGCUGUCACAUUAUCAUGACUAACAAAAUUCAGUUUCAACAAUUUAAAGUUUGUGUGGAAACAUGAGGGAAACUCUCUGAUUUGGUUUAAUAAAGGGAAGCACAGACGUCAUGAAGCCUGAUCUAAUGGCUGCCACCGCUGUCUUUUCCUCAGGAGGUUUGGUUGAAUUCACUCCAGCAUGUCCUCUAGACAUGAAAACAUCAUCAACAUGAGUCAACUCUGCAUGAGCGGUGGACACCUGAAUUUUCCAACCACUUCAAAGUUUGUCUCCUGGAC